GACGAACGCUGGCGGCGUGCUUAACACAUGCGAGUCGAACGGUGAAGGGACUGGUUUUUGCUGGUUCUGGAUGAGUGGCGAACGGGUGAGUAACACGUGAGUAACCUGCCCCCUUCUUCUGGAUAACCGCAUGAAAGUGUGGCUAAUACGGGAUAUUCUGCGCCUGCUGCAUGGUGGGUGUGGGAAAGAUAUUGUUUCGGUGGGGGAUGGGCUCGCGGCCUAUCAGCUUGUUGGUGGGGUGAUGGCCUACCAAGGCGGUGACGGGUAGCCGGCCUGAGAGGGUGGACGGUCACACUGGGACUGAGACACGGCCCAGACUCCUACGGGAGGCAGCAGUGGGGAAUAUUGCACAAUGGGCGCAAGCCUGAUGCAGCGACGCCGCGUGAGGGAUGGAGGCCUUCGGGUUGUAAACCUCUUUCGCCAGUGAAGCAGGCCUGUCCCUUUUGUGGGUGGGUUGACGGUAGCUGGAUAAGAAGCGCCGGCUAACUACGUG
rnacentral:rRNA from 1 species